rnacentral:lncRNA from 1 species
UUCUCUCUCUCUCUCUCUCUCUCUCUCUCUCUCUAUAUAUAUAUAUAUAUAUAUAUAUAUAUAUAUAGUUGAUUUGUCUAAUUUAGCCUUUAAAAUCAAAAUAAAAUUCACUUAUUCUGAUAAUUAUUAUUUAUUUUACAGAAAUUAAAUAAUUGGCUUCUUUUAGAGUAAAUCAUUUAAAAUUCUCUCACAAGUACCUACCCUACUCUUCUUAGAUCACUUUCUUCUUAUUCAACCAAAAUUUCUCUCUCAAAAUUUUAAGUAUUCCAAUUGUCCAUUCAUAUUUUCGUUACAAUAAUGAACAAGUAUUUUUAGACAAUCCGUCAUUUUAUUUUCCAUUCUAACACAGUCUAAUCAUAUAUUCCAUUUCCAUUCUAAUUUAUAAACCAAUUAUGUCCUAAAU